UCUCUCGCUCACAGAUUUGCAAAGGAGAUUCAGUCAGGCUGAGUAGAGUUGCAGAGUUAUUCUGACGAGUCGUCGCUCGGGUGGAAGACCGAGUCAAAGAGGAGUCGGACCUCAUUUGGGUCGGCAGCAAAGACAAAGCACGGCGAGGUCGAGAGGAAGAAAGGAACUCCGUGGACCGAAGAAGAACACAGAACUACCCUAAAUUAGAUGAUGACGAAUAUGCUGUUUGGCUUUGGGCCACCUUUGUGAUGUAUCCUAAACUUCUAUACAUGGUUGUUUCCCUCAAUUGUACCUCUAGUUGCUUCAAACCGCAUUAGGAAGGAGAUCAUCAAGAUUGAGCAUGGAAACAAUGAAAUCACAUUCUAUGGCAACUCUGUUAUAGCUGGUAUUCCACCUUAUUGACUUGUAGCAUUUGUGCAGUUAAAUGCUUGUUCAUAUAUUGUAAUUUUGGACUUGUACCGCUGACAGAUAUGCUUUAACAGUUUUACCUUGAUGAACAAGACCCACCGGAGAAAUUGUUACAUCUGCUGAUGAUAAAAAUAGAGUUGUUCUUAUAACCCAAUUUGAUCUUGACAAGAUCAAAUCCAAGAGACAUCGUUGGGGAGUAUUUCGUGAUCGGCGUCCAGAUUUAUACAAGGUGCGAGACGUGACAAAGAACUUGGUUGACUCUCAAAAUUGGGCUAAAGGUGUUAGAGAUUGUCUUUCUGAAGUGGAAAAAUAGUCAUAUCAUCGCAGCUGUGAUACAGAAAAGUGCUGUGGGAGCAUGUUGACAAUUUACUUGGCUUUAAUCUAGUGCCUUGUAAUGAGCCUGCACUUCUUAAAUUAAAGGAUUACGAAAAUGAAGCUAGAGCUUUGAGCCAGGAAAUUAAUUCCAUCCUUUCAACGUGCUCAAAAGUUUCUAUUGCUGAUUGGGAAAUGUUAUACACCAGAGUUUGUGACUUGCCAAUAUAUAUCAAUGAAAGUGAGAAGUUAGGACAGAGAUCCAUUCCUAUAUCCUGAUAAAGUAUGUUGUUCAAAGAACUUGCCUUCAUUCCAAGAGCUUGUUAUUUUUCUCAUCUUAUUACAUAACAUCAAAAUGGAACAAAAUUUGGGACAGACUCCAACCUUGGAUAAUUACUCAGUGGUAUAUUUCUUGUACAUUUUCUAAAGUUCUUGAUAAAUUAUGUUUGAUAUUUCAUAUAUUUUUUUCUUACAUUUUCUUUAAUGUUUUGGCCUUAAAAAGUGCAGCUAUUCAAGCGGUUUUGAGCAGUGAAAAAGAGACGAUAGCCUCUUCAGCUGGCAGUGGGGGAGUUUUAAGCAAAAAAUUAAAUGAAGUGGUUUUAGCCUAUAGUGGUGGUUUAGAUACCUCAGUCACUGUCCCAUGGCUAAGGUAGGCCUAAAAUUUUUGUCAAGGCUUGUUUACUCUUGUGUUGUGUCUGAAAAUACAUCUUUAUUUGCAAGCACGUACAUGUUGCAGACAUCCUAUUUUCCAAAGAACAACUAUAAUUCUAAGUAGUGUGGUAUAUUUAGUCUUAAACUGGUGUUGAUUUCAAUUUGUUGAAUGGGACAAAAAAGCACAUGUCAUGUUCUGGUGUGACAUUUCAGUUUAAUGUCGAGUUUAGGCUGUAACUUUAUGGAGAGAGUGACGGCUGCAUAUUAUUCAGUUCCAUGGUACAAAGAGCAUUUUUUUUCCAGUUCAUGUUCAUGCCUGUGAUAUGUUCUAUAAUUUUGCUUUUACUUAGUCAUAGUGCUUCUUGUAUUCUAGAGCAUUGACUACAUAUCCUUUUAAAUAAUUAUAUUCUCUAUUUGUGUAAUCUUGUAUCAUUUUGCAUAUUGCAAGGAGAUUUAUGGCAACAGUAGGUCGCAUCAAUCUUUAUUGCUUUUACAUUUCUUGUUGCUAGGUUUGAUAUGUCAUCUCUGUCAAAAGUUUGUGUCUUAGGAUAUGGAGGUCGUUAGAGUUGCAAUAUAAAUAGAAGGAAAAUGUGUCUGCCUUCAUUUAUCAAUUUAAGUGUUCUAAAUGAUAUUUUUUGCCCAAAUGGAUUGAUAGGUAUGAUUUGCCCUUUUCUAUUCAUCUUUCGAAUGUGAUUUAUAGGCUGUGUUGGAUUUUUCUUUUUGUGGCUUCUGGAUUUCUUUUACUUUGCAGCAGUUAUAUGGGGAAAUUUACUAUGAGGCUGUUAUAUGGGGAAACCUAUGCAAACCUAAACCUCAUACAUAGAUAUCCUUUAACAUAAUUAUGCAAGUCCCAAGUAGGUGUUGCAUUAAAGUAGAUUAAUUCCACCUUUUCCUCUUUUAAAAUUUAAUUUUUCUCUUGAGCUUCUUAUGGCCUGGAUUUAGUAGAAAACUAUAUUUUCCUGUACAAACUUAAUGGUUUGUUUGAAGAUUCCUACUCAUUUCUCUCUAGAAAUAUUGCAACAAAAGAGGUAACUUCAUUAGAGGUAACUUCAUUUGAGGUAUGAAAAAAAAAAGGUUUUGUUUUAUGUGGAUUUUAUUUUCAUAUGCGUUGAGACUAUUGAGAUCUUGAAUUUUUGCUAAUUUUUCAUUAUGACAUUGCUUUUAUAGGGCCAUUGAAUUAUUUUAUUAAUUUUGGAAAUGUUUUGUUGAUGUUUUAAAAUUUCUUGAUCAUUUCUUAAUACCUCAAGAAAUAUUUUUGUCCCUAAGUUGUUGGUUUUUGUACUUAUGUGAAGUUUCUUUUGUCAUGCAGACAAGAAAUGCAACCAGGUUAGUUACUCUAGCUAUUGCCGCGGGUUUAGGUGCCUUAACACAUACAUUGGGCACCCUCGUCCCUGUGAUAGUAGCAAGUGGAUUUGCUACAGUUACAGCAGUAAUUGUUAUAGGAACUGUUGUCAGUAGUUUUAUAUAAUCUCUUAAUAGUUGUCGAUAUGUUUAGAAAGUUAGAUAUGCAUAGUUUUGGAUGGUUUAAACUUUUUUUACAGUUUAGAACUUAAAGAUAUAGUUUUCGAAUGUUUGGAAUGUAUAAACAA